CCUACGGGAGGCAGCAGUGGGGAAUAUUGGGCAAUGGGCGCAAGCCUGACCCAGCAACGCCGCGUGAAGGAAGAAGGCUUUCGGGUUGUAAACUUCUUUUCUCAGAGACGAAGCAAGUGACGGUACCUGAUGAAUAAGCCACGGCUAAUUACGUGCCAGCAGCCGCGGUAAUACGUAGGUGGCAAGCGUUAUCCGGAUUUACUGGGUGUAAAGGGCGUGUAGGCGGGACUGCAAGUCAGAUGUGAAAACCAUGGGCUCAACCUGUGUCUUGCAUUUGAAACUGUAGUUCUUGAGUACUGGGGAGGCAGACGGAAUUCCUAGUGUAGCGGUGAAAUGCGUAGAUAUUAGGAGGAACACCAGUGGCGAAGGCGGUCUGCUGGACAGCAACUGACGCUGAGGCUCGAAAGCGUGGGGAGCAAACAGGAUUAGAUACCCCAGUAGUC
rnacentral:rRNA from 1 species